AAGUCGUAACAAGGUCUCCGUAGGUGAACCUGCGGAGGGAUCAUUAACAAACCUAGCAGAUGAUUGCUAAUUGUGUUGCCAGAUCAUAUUGUGGACGAACUGUCGUCAUUUGUCAAUGACGUCAUUAACGUGACGUGAUUCGCACCUGCGUCAUUUGUUGCACGGAUGGCUGGUUUCAUGUUUCUACAUGUACAUUGCAACAACGACAAACAAACAACAAGAUUAACAAGAAAAACAACUUUUAACAAUGGAUCUCUUGGCUCUU
rnacentral:misc_RNA from 1 species